rnacentral:rRNA from 1 species
AUGGUUAAGUUAGAAAGGGCGCACGGUGGAUGCCUUGGCACUAGGAGCCGAUGAAGGACGGGACGAACACCGAUAUGCUUCGGGGAGCUGUAAGCAAGCUUUGAUCCGGAGAUUUCCG